AUUACAGAGGAACAUUUUGGAGCACGCAAAUGAUCUCAGGGCUGCAUUUAGCUGCUGUCGCCAUCCAGGGUGUGCUUGUCAAACAGGUACUCCGCCAUCCUGUUGUUGCCAGCAUCCAUCUUGGAAAGGUUGGUGAUGUGGUCACCAAGCUUCUUGAUGGCCUCAACCUGCUCAUUCAGGUAGUGAGUCUCCAGGAAGUCACA